CCUACGGGGGGCAGCAGUAGGGAAUUUUCGGCAAUGGGCGCAACCCUGACCGAGCAACGCCGCGUGAACGAAGAAGUUCUUCGUAAUGUAAAGUUCUUUUAACAGGGAAGAAAGAGAAAUUUGACGGUACCUGAAGAAUAAGCUCCGGCUAACAACGUGCCAGCAGCCGAGGUCAUACGUAGGGAGCGAGCGUUAUCCGGAAUUCUUGCGCGUAAAGGGUGCGUAGAGGGUAUAGUAAGUCUUGUGUAAAAAUGCUGGGCUCAACCGAGUAAGGCAAAAGAUACUGGAAAGCUAGAGUAUGCCAGAGGCAAGUGGAACUACAUGUGUAGCGGUGAAAUGCGUAAAUAUAUGUAAGAACACCAGUGGCGAAGGCGGCUUGCUGGGUCGAUACUGACAUUGAGGCACGAAAGCGUGGGGAGCAAACAGGAUUAGAUACCCGUGUAGUC
rnacentral:rRNA from 1 species